rnacentral:rRNA from 1 species
UACGUAGGGUGCAAGCGUUAAUCGGAAUUACUGGGCGUAAAGGGCGCGUAGGCGGCCUGCUAAGUCGAACGUGAAAUCCCCGGGCUCAACCCGGGAACUGCGUCCGAUACUGGCAGGCUUGAAUCCGGGAGAGGGAUGCGGAAUCCAGGUGUAGCGGUGAAAUGCGUAGAUAUCUGGAGGAACACCGGUGGCGAAGGCGGCAUCCUGGACCGGCAUUGACGCUGAGGCGCGAAAGCGUGGGGAGCAAACAGGG